GAACGCUGGCGGCGUGCCUACACAUGCAAGUCGAGCGAUUCUCUUCGGAGAAGAGCGGCGGACGGGUGAGUAACGCGUGGGUAACCUGCCCUGUACACACGGAUAACAUACCGAAAGGUAUGCUAAUACGAGAUAAUAUACUUUUAUCGCAUGGUAGAAGUAUCAAAACUUUUGCGGUACAGGAUGGACCCGCGUCUGAUUAGCUAGUUGGUAAGGUAACGGCUUACCAAGGCGACGAUCAGUAGCCGACCUGAGAGGGUGAUCGGCCACAUUGGAACUGAGACACGGUCCAAACUCCUACGGGAGGCAGCAGUGGGGAAUAUUGCACAAUGGGCGAAAGCCUGAUGCAGCAACGCCGCGUGAGCGAUGAAGGCCUUCGGGUCGUAAAGCUCUGUCCUCAAGGAAGAUAAUGACGGUACUUGAGGAGGAAGCCCCGGCUAACUACGUGCCAGCAGCCGCGGUAAUACGUAGGGGGCUAGCGUUAUCCGGAAUUACUGGGCGUAAAGGGUGCGUAGGUGGUUUCUUAAGUCAGAGGUGAAAGGCUACGGCUCAACCGUAGUAAGCCUUUGAAACUGGGAAACUUGAGUGCAGGAGAGGAGAGUGGAAUUCCUAGUGUAGCGGUGAAAUGCGUAGAUAUUAGGAGGAACACCAGUUGCGAAGGCGGCUCUCUGGACUGUAACUGACACUGAGGCACGAAAGCGUGGGGAGCAAACAGGAUUAGAUACCCUGGUAGUCCACGCCGUAAACGAUGAGUACUAGCUGUCGGAGGUUACCCCCUUCGGUGGCGCAGCUAACGCAUUAAGUACUCCGCCUGGGAAGUACGCUCGCAAGAGUGAAACUCAAAGGAAUUGACG
rnacentral:rRNA from 1 species